GCUAGCGUUGCUCGGAAUUACUGGGCGUAAAGCGCACGCAGGCGGAUUGUUAAGUCGGGGGUGAAAUCCUGGAGCUCAACUCCAGAACUGCCUUCGAUACUGGCGAUCUCGAGUUCGGGAGAGGUGAGUAGAACUGCGAGUGUAGAGGUGAAAUUCGUAGAUAUUCGCAAGAACACCAGUGGCGAAGGCGGCUCACUGGCUCGAUACUGACGCUGAUGUGCGAAAGCGUGGGGAGCAAACAGG
rnacentral:rRNA from 1 species